AACGAACGCUGGCGGCAGGCUUAACACAUGCAAGUCGAGCGCCCCGCAAGGGGAGCGGCAGACGGGUGAGUAACGCGUGGGAAUCUACCCAUCUCUACGGAAUAACUCAGGGAAACUUGUGCUAAUACCGUAUACGCCCUUUUGGGAAAAGAUUUAUCGGAGAUGGAUGAGCCCGCGUUGGAUUAGCUAGUUGGUGGGGUAAAGGCCUACCAAGGCGACGAUCCAUAGCUGGUCUGAGAGGAUGAUCAGCCACAUUGGGACUGAGACACGGCCCAAGCUCCUACGGGAGGCAGCAGUGGGGAAUAUUGGACAAUGGGCGCAAGCCUGAUCCAGCCAUGCCGCGUGAGUGAUGAAGGCCCUAGGGUUGUAAAGCUCUUUCACCGGAGAAGAUAAUGACGGUAUCCGGGGAAGAAGCCCCGGCUAACUUCGUGCCAGCCGCCGCAGUAA
rnacentral:rRNA from 1 species